GAGCAGCAGGGGAAGAAGAGAAGAACAUUGCAUUUUUCUUACAAAGAUAAUAGCUUGUAAGAUUUCUGCAACAAUCAAGGACUUUCAUCUUUCUUUCUCCAGCCUCUUAUUGGGUUGGCCACAGGCCUCCUGGGACGCCCAAGCAUGGUUUAUAUUUCCUAAUAAGUUUUAGAUUGCCUCUGGUCCCAUUACUACUGUGUCUCUCCCGUUAUACCAUACACUAUUGACUCGACUCUCAGCUGCGCUAAAUUCUCUGCGGAACAUCUGUUCUGUGGAAGUCAGCCUUCGUAAAGCACAAUGAAGUGUUUCCUGGGCUUCUGCCUUUCCUGUAGCCUUUUUAUAUCAUGGUGUCAGGCACAAUGCUACAUUGUAGCCACGAAAGGAACAUCAGAGGCAGUGAGAAAAAUUAGGAGGAAGAAUCCAAUCCUUGGAACUUGGACUGAAUGGCAUAGAGAGUGCAAGGCUCUGGAUGGAGUUAUGCAUCCCUUCAGAUCUGAAUGGAUAACUAAGAAUUGUUACAAGUGUCAGUGUAAUGAGGACAGAAUUCAGUGCUGCAACGUAGCUGUUAAACCAAUAGAUAUUGAUGAAGAGAAUUGCUUGAUCUUUCUGAACAGGGCAACCUGCACAUAUGAAAUCUGGAACAAAGAAGACCCUACCAAAUCCGUCUGGCCCAUACUUGGGUUGGGUAGCCUCAACCCUUCUUAGUGCUGCUGCCAAGUUUGUAGCUUCCCAUAAGCAGAUGCCAACCAGUGCUCCUCUUCUUGGAAUGAAGUUUGAAGAGUUUGAAGCCUUGCUACAUGUGAGCAAUACCUUGCUUUCCCUUUCUUGGGAGAUGUCGUCACCAUGGUGAUCAUGAUGCUUUGAACCUGCUGAGGAGUUCAGUGGUGAUCCCUGCUUCUCCUCUGGGAUUUUCAGAGUAGAUUGGGCAUCAGGGGCCACAAGAAGGUUGUUUUUCUUCCUCUUUGCCCCAAUUUCCUUGAGCUGGGGCUCUGGCUGGCCAUGAGUUCUCCUCUAGGCUGCCCAGGUACAGAUGAACCUCAAUCAAAAAUCCAUUCACAUACAGCCCAUUCAGACAUGUGCUGGAGGUAACAGCUUUUUUGAUCAUCUCUGAUAGAUCAUCUAAGUCAUCUCUGGGUCUCCUGCAACCUGCUGCUUAAUGAAUACUUUGAGAGAAUAAAUCAUCUUUCAGCAUGU
rnacentral:lncRNA from 1 species